rnacentral:rRNA from 1 species
GUGAGUCAUCGAAUCUUUGAACGCACCUUGCGCUCCCUGGCAUUCCGGGGAGCAUGUCUGUUUGAGUGUCAUGAACUCUUCAACCCACCAGUUUCUUGUAGACUGAUUGGUGUUUGGAUUUUGAGCGUUGCUGGAUCUUCGGAUCGUAGCUCGUUCGUAAUAUAUUAGCAACUCUAAUUCGAACUCGGAUUGACUCAGUGUAAUAGACUAUUCGCUGAGGACACGUGCUUGCAUGUGGCCGAAUGAGAUCUCAGUAGGAGCUUCCAACUACAGUAGUCAACUUUAGAUUAGACCUCAGAUCAGACAGGAUUACCCGCUGAACUUAA